rnacentral:lncRNA from 10 species
GGAUUAUAGGCGUGAGCCACUGUGCCUUGGGCUGUGCAUUCUUAUACUGGCCAUACCAGGCCAGUAUAAGAACUGCUUUUAUUAUGUUCUGCUUUUAUUAUGCUGUACCUGUGUCUGUUCUCUGAAUUCCUUUUUCACUCUAACACAAAAUUUUCAUUUUACUGUUUUAUAACAGUUUUACACAGAUACUUCUGCCUCCCCUUUUAAAAUGUCCCUCUUUGA